AUGCCGCACACCAGGCCCAGGACUGUCCAGGAAGCAAUCGGAAGCCUCGGAGGAAAGCCGGCUGACCCUGGAGAGGCCCCGCGAGGGGGAGGCCGAGGAGGCCCGGGCGAGGAGGGCGGCCUCCCGUGGGCACCCGCACCACCCCCUCCCAGGCUGGGCGCGCGGCCCGGCGGGCCCGGGGCGGACACAGCGCCCACCUCCCCGCACCGCGGGCCAGAGGGGCGGGGGCGGGCGUGGGUUCCGAGGAAGCGGCUCCAACUUCCACCCGGCGCCCUGAGGGCCGGCGAGGGCGCAGCCCGCACGACCUGCUCCGGCCCCCGCGGCCCUGCCCAGGCGGCCGCGCAGCCGGCCCCGGCCUGCCCAGCCCGGCCCCGCCAGAGGUCCGCGCUCCAGCCCCGGGCUCGGCCUGGGCAUCCGCAGGGCCCUCCCGGCGGGGCCGCCGCAAACUUUCUCUCCCGCCUCGGAGGAGGGGGCAGCGCCGGCCCCCGGCCCCCGCGUCGCCUGGAGCGCUGCCCCGAAGCUGGCGGGCGGGCCGGCGGCGCGGGGCCAGGGCCGGUCCGACCCGGCCGGGAGGGGACACGGAGAGCUCGCCGCCGGCGUCGCGGCCGCGCCCGGACACACGCGGGGGCCGGGCCGGAGCCGCAGGGACACGCGGACCCGCGGACACGCGCGCCGCAGUCCCCGCGCACUGCCCGCCGCCCGGCCCGUGCCCUGCGACCCGCCGAGGCCGCCCAGGGCGCCCCCCCGGCGCGCCCUCCGCCCGCCCGGGCCCGACCCCCGCCCGGCCCGCCGCGGGGAAAGUUGCGCCCCUACUCACGGGCUGCCCCGGGGCGCGCCCCGCCGCCGGCCAUCGCCGCGCCCCGCCGCCCGCGCCGCCGCCGCCCGCCCCGCCGCGGGGCCGCCGAAGCCGCGCAGGCCGCCCAGGCCGAGGCCGCCGCGCCCGGGCUCCGCUGCGUGGCCGCGCCGCCGCUGCCCAGCAUGAAUGGGGCGCCGAGCGCCGCGCGGAUGCGGACCGGCCUCGCUCUCGCCGCCCGCGGAGCCGUGCACCGCGCGCAUGCGCCGCCCGGCGGCGGGCGGGGCGGGGGACGGGGCUGGCGGCGGCCUCCAGAGGGCGCUCUGUCCCGCUCCGCGCGUCGGCCGGGCCCACCGCGCGCGUUCAAAGGGCGAUGCAGCGCCCGCCUUAAUUGGGAGGUGCGGGGCCUGGGCGGGGCGUCCCAGGAACCCACGCCCGGGCUGCCCUGGGCCCGUGUCCUAGGGGCAUGGCCCUGCCUGCGUGAGUCCGGGCUGGGAGCGCAAACUCCAUUCAGGAAGCGUAAACUGAGGCCGGAGGACGGAGAGCCCCGUGCCCGGGGUCAUGCAGAGCCGUGGGUCCCCGGUCCGUGGCCUCGGAGCGCAUCUGCUGAGGCCGCACGUGGUGCUGAUCACCCUUGCCCCCGUGUGGGCCACUGCGGGUCGGGCUGUGACGGACAUCUUGUGCAGGCGCUUGGGUCAGAAGCAGACGUGUCGCGGAUACCUGGCAGGGAAGGUAUGGAAAGUGGAGGAGACUAG
rnacentral:lncRNA from 1 species